GACGAACGCUGGCGGCGUGCCUAAUACAUGCAAGUCGAGCGAGCGAAACUAACAGAUUUACUUCGGUAAUGACGUUAGGAAAGCGAGCGGCGGAUGGGUGAGUAACACGUGGGGAACCUGCCCCAUAGUCUGGGAUACCACUUGGAAACAGGUGCUAAUACCGGAUAAGAAAGCAGAUCGCAUGAUCAGCUUUUACAAGUCGGCGUAAGCUGUCGCUAUGGGAUGGCCCCGCGGUGCAUUAGCUAGUUGGUAAGGUAAAGGCUUACCAAGGCGAUGAUGCAUAGCCGAGUUGAGAGACUGAUCGGCCACAUUGGGACUGAGACACGGCCCAAACUCCUACGGGAGGCAGCAGUAGGGAAUCUUCCACAAUGGACGCAAGUCUGAUGGAGCAACGCCGCGUGAGUGAAGAAGGUUUUCGGAUCGUAAAGCUCUGUUGUUGGUGAAGAAGGAUAGAGGUAGUAACUGGCCUUUAUUUGACGGUAAUCAACCAGAAAGUCACGGCUAACUACGUG
rnacentral:rRNA from 1 species